rnacentral:rRNA from 1 species
CCUACGGGUGGCAGCAGUAGGGAAUAUUGCACAAUGGGGGAAACCCUGAUGCAGCAACGCCGCGUGGAGGAUGAAGGUUUUCGGUUUGUAACCUUCUUUUGUUAGAGAAGAUAAUGACGGUAUCUAACGAAUAAGCCCCGGCUAACUCCGUGCCAGCAGCCGCGGUAAUACGGAGGGUGCAAGCGUUACUCGGAAUUACUGGGCGUAAAGAGCGCGUAGGCGGGAUAGCAAGUCAGAUGUGAAAUCCUAGGGCUUAACCACAGAACUGCAUUUGAAACUGUUAUACUAGAGUAUGGGAGAGGUAGGUGGAAUUCGUGGUGUAGGGGUAAAAUGCGUAGAGAUCAAGAGGAACACUAGUGGCGAAGGCGACCUGCUAGAACAUAAAUGACGCUGAGGCGCGAAAGCGUGGGGAGCAAACAGGAUUAGAUACCCGGGUAGUC